rnacentral:rRNA from 1 species
GCCGUGAGAGCGGGAGCCCCGGAGAUGGGAACUGAGACAAGGUCCCAGGCCCUACGGGGCGCAGCAGUCGCGAAAACUUGUCAAUGCACGAAAGUGUGAACAGGCUACCCCGAGUGCUGUCCGCUGAGGAUGGCUUUUCUCCGCUGUNNAGGAGGCGGAGGAAUAAGGAGAGGGCAAGUCUGGUGUCAGCCGCCGCGGUAAUACCAGCUCUCCGAGUGGUGAGGGAUGAUUAUUGGGCUUAAAGCGUCCGUAGCCGGCCUUCUCAAGUCUCUCGUUAAAUCCGNGCGAUUCAAUCGUUGGACCGCGGGAGAUACUGUCAGGCUAGGNNGGCGGGAGAAGCCGACGGUAUUCNNCGGGGUAGGGGUAAAAUCCUAUAAUCCCGGGAAGACCACCAGUGGCGUAGGCGGUCGGCUAGCACGCGCUCGACGGUGAGGGACGAAAGCUGGGGGAGCGAACCGGAUUAGAUACCCGGAUAGUCCCAGCUGUAAACGAUGCGGGCUAGGUGUUGGGGCGGCCNACGAGCCNNCUUCAGUGCCGCAGGGAAGCCAUUAAGCCAGCCGCCUGGGGAGUACGGCCGCAAGGCUGAAACUUAAAGGAAUUGGCGGGGGAGCG